CUAAUACUGCACCCAUUCACUCUUAUUGUCUGUGCACUCUGAUUUGCAUAUUAAUGUAUAAGAACUUUGUAACCGUGUCUUUGGACGUGUUGGUAAGAAAGCUUAAGUAAGUAGUCAAAAUAUUAUAAAACGGUUUGACUAUUUACAGUGCAGAGGUGCCAGCAUAAUGUUCCUUUAAGAUUCAUCAACUGAACAUAAUUGAAAGUCGUCUUAGUGAAGCAUAUUAGUACC